rnacentral:lncRNA from 1 species
AGAGAAUAUCAAACCCUAAGAACUCAUAGAAGUAGAGCUAGAACAAGUUCUGCACCUUUUCUAGCUGAAAAUCCUAUGUUUUGAAGUUUGAAUUCAUCUCUAAUCAAGGCUUCUAGCACACCCUAUCUAAGACUGAUCCUUUCACUUCAUACAUCAUAUUGAUCUUGAGGUAAGUUGAAGCUUUCAUUUGCUCAUCAUAAGAACCUAAUUAUGUGUGUUUUAAUGUGACUUUUGCUAUGUGUUCUCCAUGAUGUUUGAAUGAUUGAUGAGUCAUAGUGAUAUGAAAGAAUAUGUUUUGAAAAUGGGAGUAUGGUACUUGAUUGAUGGUCGAGUAGACAAGGGACGCGGGAGGAACCGGCGGACCCAACACAUGGUGGCAAAUACCUGAGGUCGUAAGACCAGUAUGGAAAACCCACAAUUAAAGAAAUGAAAUACGGCUAAUACCUGAGGUCGAAAGGCCGGUAUGGAAACCCCCGUAUUAUCUAUUGGCCAAAUAUGAUGAACAGGUUCCGAAAAUCAAAGUCUAUUGCUAUCAGUCAAGUACCACACUUCAAGGGUACCCGAUAAAGAGAAGGAUUUCAAAAGAAAGGAUCAUAAAUGAAGUUAUACGUGAUAUUGUACAUAUUGAAUGAAUAACGUGUUAUGUGAUAGAUUGUUAUUAUUACAUCAGUUUCAACUUGCUGAGCUAUUAGCUCAUUAGGUUCUUAUGAUGCAGGUAAUGAUGUACAUGUUUAGAAGUUGACCUAGCCAAGAGCGGCCAGUCAGAUAUUUGUUCAUAUGCCAUGCUUCGCGCCAUUUUUGUAGCCGAGCUAGAAACUCUGAUUUCAUUUUGUUAGCCGCUCUAUUAUGGUUUUUGUACAAUAUAAUUUUGUAAACAAUAAAUAUGUAUAUUUAUGUACAGAUUUCGAGAAAGUACAAACUUUGAUUUCUUUUCAAAGCAUAUAACGUAUUUUUGUAUUAAAACCAUAAUGUUCAAGUAAAUAUAUAAAAGGGUAGCAUCCCUAACUUAACGGUGGUGAUCCUAUUGGAUUCUGCUGUUAGGUUGUGGGCCGAUUUUUGUAGCCGAGCUAGAAACUCUGAUUUCAUUUUGUUAGCCGCUCUAUUAUGGUUUUUGUACAAUGUAAUUUUGUAAACAAUGAAUAUAUAUAUAUGUACGGGUUUUGAGAAAGUUCAAAGUUUGAUUUCUUUUCAAAGCAUAUAACGUAUUUUUGUAUUAAAACCAUAAUGUUUAAGGAUAUAUAUAAAAGGUUAGCAUCCCUAACUUAAUGGUGGUGAUCCGAUUGGAUUCUGCUGUUAGGUUGUGGGGCGUUACAUUUUGUGGUAUCAGAGCGGAGGUUUAAAAUCUUUUCUGAAGACAGAAGAAGGCAUAUGAACAGACUUUGGCUGCGAAGCUUGGUUAACUCUUUUCUCAUUUACCUAUGUGUUUGAUUUAUAUGUUGCAUAGCAAAUUUCCAGAAUUGUUCGGUACGUCAAAUUUCGAGGACGAAAUUUUAUAAGGAGGGAAGGAUUGUAAUGCCCAAUCAUCCAUACAUGGACAAUAAUAAGCAUAUUGCAUCAAUGCAUAUAGUUAUAAUUCAUUAUUCAUGAUGCAUAUCACGACUACUUGCUACACACGUGUCUUAAUUGCAUUUUGAUACGUGAUCGAAUACUUUUCUUAAACUGUGAUAAUACAUGAUACAUGUUAUUGAACUUAUACUUUAUGAUUUAACAUUAACUUAAGUGAUUUAUUGUAGUGAGAAGUUAAGUUUCUCGGUUAAGAAGGGAUCAAUGUGCUAAACGGUGAUAUAAUUGUCUUAAUUGCAUUUCUGCAUUUUAAUUACAUUAUAAUAUGAUUAAUUUCAUAUAUAAUUACAUGAAGUAACUCAUAUAAAGCUAAAAUCAAAAGUAAGCAAAAGGGUGCAAUUUGAUUGGUUGGUUGACUAGGUUGCACAAGACCAUUCUCAAAGUGUUUACACUUGAUUAUAAUGAGUAAGCAUCAGCCCAUAUCUUAUCUCAAGCUAGAAAAACGUGGAGGAACCACAAGAAUCCAGCAAAUAUAAGCCCUCCAAUCAGCAUCCUCCAUUUGGCCUUGUUGGGAAUGGGUAGAUAAGUGAAGACUUUGUGUUUUGGUCUUCAUUUUCACUUGUCUUCUUCCAAAAACGACCAGACCUAUUCACUUAAGCUUUUCUUCUUAUUUCUUCACUUCCAUGUUCACAUAAGAGAAUAUCAAACCCUAAGAACUCAUAGAAGUAGAGCUAGAACAAGUUCUGCACCUUUUCUAGCUGAAAAUCCUAUGUUUUGAAGUUUGAAUUCAUCUCUAAUCAAGGCUUCUAGCACACCCUAUCUAAGACUGAUCCUUUCACUUCAUACAUCAUAUUGAUCUUGAGGUAAGUUGAAGCUUUCAUUUGCUCAUCAUAAGAACCUAAUUAUGUGUGUUUUAAUGUGACUUUUGCUAUGUGUUCUCCAUGAUGUUUGAAUGAUUGAUGAGUCAUAGUGAUAUGAAAGAAUAUGUUUUGAAAAUGGGAGUAUGGUACUUGAUUGAUGGUCGAGUAGAC